rnacentral:rRNA from 1 species
GAUGAACGCUGGCGGCGUGCCUAAUACAUGCAAGUCGAGCGAACAGAUGAGGAGCUUGCUCCUCUGACGUUAGCGGCGGACGGGUGAGUAACACGUGGAUAACCUACCUAUAAGACUGGGAUAACUUCGGGAAACCGGAGCUAAUACCGGAUAAUAUAUUGAACCGCAUGGUUCAAUAGUGAAAGACGGUUUUGCUGUCACUUAUAGAUGGAUCCGCGCCGCAUUAGCUAGUUGGUAAGGUAACGGCUUACCAAGGCAACGAUGCGUAGCCGACCUGAGAGGGUGAUCGGCCACACUGGAACUGAGACACGAUCCAGACUCCUACGGGAGGCAGCAGUAGGGAAUCUUCCGCAAUGGGCGAAAGCCUGACGGAGCAACGCCGCGUGAGUGAUGAAGGUCUUCGGAUCGUAAAACUCUGCUAUUAGGGAAGAACAAAUGUGUAAGUAACUAUGCUCGUCUUGACGGUACCUAAUCAGAAAGCCACGGCUAACUACGUG